rnacentral:rRNA from 1 species
AGUGAACGCUGGCGGCAGGCCUAACACAUGCAAGUCGAGCGGCAGCGCGGUGGCAACCCUGGCGGCGAGCGUCGGACUGGUGUGUAUUUCGUCUGAAUCUGCCUUUUUUUUGUUUAUAACGUCGGGAAACUUACGCUAAUACCGCAUACGUCCUACUGGUGCUAGUUGGUGUCCGCAAGGCCUCACGCAGUAAUAUGAUCCGACGACCGAUUAGCUAGUUGGUGGGGUAAAGGCCCACCAAGGCGACGAUCGGUAGCUGGUCUGAGAGGAUGAUCAGCCACAGUGGGAGGGAGACAGGGAAAAGAGUAGUACGGGAGGCAGCAGAGGGGAAUAUUGGACAAGGGGGGGAAGCAUGAUACAGCAAGGCGGAGUGUGAGAAGAAGGGAUUGGGGUUGGAAAGAAAUUUUGUGGGGAAAGAAAACAAUGGAGAUAAUACCAACGGGGGAUGACGGUAACGGAAGAAGAAGCACCGGCUAACUACGUG